UACAGAGGUCUCGAGCGUUGUUCGGAUUUAUUGGGCGUAAAGGGUGCGUAGGCGGUAUGGCAAGUCAAGUGUGAAAGCCCCCGGCUCAACUGGGGAGGGUCACGCGAUACUGAUCGACUGGAAGGCAGGAGAGGGUAGUGGAAUUCCCGGUGUAGUGGUGAAAUGCGUAGAUAUCGGGAGGAACACCAGUGGCGAAGGCGACUACCUGGCCUGUUCUUGACGCUGAGGCGCGAAAGCUAGGGGAGCAAACGGG
rnacentral:rRNA from 1 species